rnacentral:rRNA from 1 species
UACGGAGGGUGCAAGCGUUACUCGGAAUUACUGGGCGUAAAGAGUGCGUAGGUGGUUGGAUAAGUUAUCUGUGAAAUCCCUGGGCUUAACCUGGGCAGGUCAGAUAAUACUGUUUAACUCGAGUAUGGGAGAGGGUAGUGGAAUUUCCGGUGUAGCGGUGAAAUGCGUAGAGAUCGGAAGGAACACCAGUGGCGAAGGCGGCUACCUGGCCUAAUACUGACACUGAGGCACGAAAGCGUGGGGAGCAAACAGG